rnacentral:sRNA from 1 species
AGGAGUCUGAGACUUUGAAUGAUAGUCUAGUAUUAAGGAACACUGGAUAAUCUUAUAACAAGGGAGACUUCCUUGUCACCAAAGGCCAAACCCCAUGCCUACUUCUGCCAUAUCAAGAUCUCUGGAACAAUGGGACUUCCUGUUUGGGCCAAGGGCAAGUGACUCAAAGUCACACCUUACUGAGGCUUGGCAAAGGCUUCUCUAUUGGUUUCCUCACCUGUGAUACUGCGAGGAGGCUGAGACAACUGAACAGAGUGACGUAACAUCCAGGAAGGGCUUCUCACCCAGUGGUUGUCACAGAAGGGCGGGACGGCCCCUAACAAGGCAGUAAUUCCCUGGAUGACUUUCAGUUUGACCUCCAGCUGGCCCAGGCCCUAGGUGAGUCUGUGUUUGAGAAGGGUCUCCGUGAGAAAGUGACCCAGGAGAACACCAGUGUCCGGUGGGAGCUAGGCCAGCUUCAGCAGCAGUUGAAGCAAAAGGAGCAGGAAGCCUCACAGCUGAAGCAGCAGGUGGAGAUGCUACAGGACCAUAAACGGGAGCUGCUGGGGUCACCCUCUCUGGGGGAAAAUUGCGUUGCUGGCUUGAAGGAGAGGCUGUGGAAGUUGGA